rnacentral:misc_RNA from 1 species
UUCACAAUCCCAUUUUUAUUUUUCUUGAUAAAUUAUUACACCAUAAGAACUAAAACCAAACCCUCUCAGUCAAGCUAAGAUAGAGAUAAUGGAGGCUAUAGAGCAUAGAUUUCUCAAUGUCAAUGGCAUAAACAUGCACGUAGCGGAGAUGGGUCCGGUGAACGGCCCAGUGAUUCUCUUCAUUCACGGAUUCCCUGAUCUCUGGUACUCCUGGCGCCACCAGAUUGUGGCGCUGGCUACUCUGGGCUACCGAGCAGUGGCACCGGAUUUGAGAGGCUUCGGAGACACCGACGCACCGGCUGAUCCGCGGAGCUACACCGUCUUCCACAUCGUCGGUGAUCUCAUCGGGCUCUUGGACACCGUGGCACCCCACCAGGAAAAGGCUUUUGUAGUGGGUCAUGACUGGGGAGCUUACAUGGCGUGGUUCUUGUGUCUGUUUAGACCUGACAGAGUCAAGGGUUUGGUUAAUCUGAGCGUGACUUUUCCUCCUAGAAACCCCAAGAUGAAA